rnacentral:tRNA from 1 species
GCCAGCAUAAUGCAGUGGUUUGAGUGUUGGACUAGGAUUCUGGAGAUCAGGGUUUGAUUCCCUGCUUGGUCA